rnacentral:rRNA from 1 species
UCUGGAAACUGUNUGACUUGAGUGCAGAAGGGGAGAGUGGAAUUCCAUGUGUAGCGGUGAAAUGCGUAGAUAUAUGGAGGAACACCAGUGGCGAAAGCGGCUCUCUGGGCUGUCACUGACGCUGAGGCUCGAAAGCGUGGGUAGCGAACAGGAUUAGAUACCCUGGUAGUNCACGCCGUAAACGAUGAGUGCUAGGUGUUAGGCCCUUUCCGGGGCUUAGUGCCGGAGCUAACGCAAUAAGCACUCCGCCUGGGGAGUACGACCGCAAGGUUGAAACUCAAAGGAAUUGACGGGGGCCCGCACAAGCGGUGGAGCAUGUGGUUUAAUUCGAAGCAACGCGAAGAACCUUACCAGGUCUUGACAUCCCGAUGCUAUUCUUAGAGAUAGGAAGUUACUUCGGUACAUCGGAGACAGGUGGUGCAUGGUUGUCGUCAGCUCGUGUCGUGAGAUGUUGGGUUAAGUCCCGCAACGAGCGCAACCCUUAUUGUUAGUUGCCAUCAUUAAGUUGGGCACUCUAGCGAGACUGCCGGUAAUAAACCGGAGGAAGGUGGGGAUGACGUCAAAUCAUCAUGCCCCUUAUGACCUGGGCUACACACGUGCUACAAUGGUCGGUACAACGAGUUGCGGGCCGGUGACGGCAAGCUAAUCUCUGAAAGCCGAUCUCAGUUCGGAUUGGAGGCUGCAACUCGCCUCCAUGAAGUCGGAAUCGCUAGUAAUCGCGGAUCAGCACGCCGCGGUGAAUACGUUCCCGGGCCUUGUACACACCGCCCGUCACACCACGAGAGUUUGUAACACCCGAAGUCGGUGAGGUAACCUUUUAG